ACGACAACAACGUACAAGGUGCAAAGUGCUAAAAGGUUCGAACUACGUAAGCUGCAGCAUAAUAAUCUAGAAGCCGAAACCUAUCGCCUGGUAUAAAAAUUUUCUUAAAAUGUCACUUAGUAUAGAUUUUUAAAUGACGCAUACAGUGCCAUAUGAGUCAAAAAUUUGUAUACUAACACGAACACCAUUCCAAGUGCCACAUCGAAUCGUACACGAUGAAUGCCAUCUUAGUCACUCGCGCGCACGGAGCGCUAUUUACCACAUCGCACUCAGUUCGCGGCCGACCGGCUAGUCAUGGGUUGUGAAAGAUUUGAUCGUUUUUUAGAGAAUAUUAACAUGUUGUUACGUAACUUUUUUCUUAAUUUUGAGUUUCUGUUAAGAAUUUUGUUGAAUUCAUUCGAUCGAUCAAUUAACUACAAAUAUAAGUUUGUUAAUCAUGAAGGAGAAACGUGCGAGACGGUUGGAAUCAUUAAAAUCAGCAGCAAAAAGAUCGGGUACGGAUUGCAUCAAAACAGAACUAAAUAAAUCGACCACAAUAAAUGGAGUGUCACCACUAAGGAUGGACGAAGCAUCAUGCGAGGAAUUAUAAAGAGCACUGCCAACUGCGUUUGAGGAGCCAAAAGAUACGCAUUCCACUAAUACAAGCAUAUCAAGUCAAUUUGAGAAUCAAAUCUCCAUACCAUGUUUUGUUAAUGACUCUGAUUAUAGUGCAGGUGAAAGUAUGUUUAAAAGUAUUAAC